rfam:TPA: Bos taurus chromosome X, whole genome shotgun sequence.
UCCCUGGUGGCUCAGGCGGUAAAGCAUUUGCCUGCAAUGCGGGAGAUCUAGGUUCAAUCCCUGGGUUGGGAA